GAUGCCUUCCCGUUCCUCUACCGCCUCGUGGCCGAGUCCUCCUCUCCCCAACCGCUGAUCUCGCCGCUCCAGCGGCGUUAGCAGGAUGGUGUACACGGGCUUCACAAACAUGUGGCUGUCUAGGCUCCGGAUGUGGUCGACGCCGAUGAGGACUCGAACAAUCUGUAGAGCCGCAGUGCCGCACCAGGUAUAGCUACUCUCCCUCUUCAGUCAACAGCAAGACCAUUCUGUUUAUGGAGGUUGCAACUCACACAGAUUUGUGGGUUCGGAAAAAUAAUUCUGUUGCCGGCCAUGUUCUCCAUUAAUUCUCAUCCUUGUCGUCAAAAUUGUGUCUUCCAUGUUCUCCAUUGACGCAUGGAGAAACUGAGCUGUGUGAGAUGGGGUGCCGGGACAUUACUACUGAUUACUAACCAGGCAAUAAACUGGUAGAUGAUCAGGGAAAAGAACGGAGUCGUCGGAUGAGGAAGAAGACCCCAGACCCAGGAUGCUUUGUGAUUCAUGUUGACAUGUAGUAUUCCUUUGAUAGAGAAAAAAACGAGGCCUCAUCGAUUUUUCCCGGUUUGUGGAGGUGAUGGCACCAGUAUUUACCAGGGAUGUAUGGAGAUGUGUUGGCAUAUCAUCCAGUACAUAAAUUGAAUGAGUCGGUUUUCUGGGUCCAUUUCCUGGUACCUGAGAAUUUAGACUGCCUCUUUUCUUGUCUGUAAGCUGAUACUUCUUCACGUAGCUAGACUCUCCUCCCAACAUUUGCACUCACAUGUGAUUUUUUUUGUGUCUCCCCUCAAAUUUUAUCCAGGAAAUUUAGUAAUAGGGUCCUUGAUAUAGAUACAUCAAAGGAAGCACAGAAGGUAAAUGGUUUUACCUGUUGCUGGCAUCAGAGGAGCAGCUACAAAUGGCAACCAUAUGGAUUUGUUAUUGUCGAUUGAAAGCACACAGUAUGAUUUUGAAGAAGGAACUCAAUGGAGCAAAUGGAAGAAAGAAAGGAGCCAUAACGAGAUGUUGAGAACAAGACAUAGUCUUCGGAUUAACUAAUAUUUGAAAAUCAGCAUGCUUUUGAUGAUUGCCGUGGAUUAAACAAGUAUAUAUUUAUUUUGAUUAUUGAUAUAGCACAACUUAGUCGAGUGGACCGAACAACACUGGAUUCGAGAGGUCAUUUAAUAGGAAAAUUGGCACUACAAGUUUCUUCAGCAUUGAGCACAAUUCAUUACUUUCUA